UACGUAGGUGGCAAGCGUUAUCCGGAUUUAUUGGGCGUAAAGGGAACGCAGGCGGUCUUUUAAGUCUGAUGUGAAAGCCUUCGGCUUAACCGGAGUAGUGCAUUGGAAACUGGGAGACUUGAGUGCAGAAGAGGAGAGUGGAACUCCAUGUGUAGCGGUGAAAUGCGUAGAUAUUAGGAGGAACACCAGUGGCGAAGGCGGCUUACUGGACUGUAACUGACGUUGAGGCUCGAAAGCGUGGGGAGCAAACAGG
rnacentral:rRNA from 1 species